GAUGAACGCUGGCGGCGUGCCUAAUACAUGCAAGUCGAGCGAACAGACGAGGAGCUUGCUCCUCUGACGUUAGCGGCGGACGGGUGAGUAACACGUGGAUAACCUACCUAUAAGACUGGGAUAACUUCGGGAAACCGGAGCUAAUACCGGAUAAUAUAUUGAACCGCAUGGUUCAAUAGUGAAAGACGGUUUUGCUGUCACUUAUAGAUGGAUCCGCGCCGCAUUAGCUAGUUGGUAAGGUAACGGCUUACCAAGGCAACGAUGCGUAGCCGACCUGUGAGGCUGAUCGGCCACCCUGGAACUGAGACACGGUCCAGACUCCUACGGGAGGCAGCAGUAGGGAAUCUUCCGCAAUGGGCGAAAGCUUGACGGAGCAACGCCGCGUGAGUGAUGAAGGUCUUCGGAUCGUAAAACUCUGUUAUUAGGGAAGAACAAAUGUGUAAGUAACUAUGCACGUCUUGACGGUACCUAAUCAGAAAGCCACGGCUAACUACGUG
rnacentral:rRNA from 1 species